GCCAGUGUGGUGUAGUGUUUAGGUUCUGGACUAUAACUCUGGAGACUGGGGUUCAAUUCCCACCUCAGCCA